rnacentral:lncRNA from 1 species
GCUCAGGGCUCAAGCACCCCUGGGUUCAAUCCCCAGUACCCCAAACAAAACAGAACAGAAUCAGCACGGUGGAGCAAGACAGAUUCCAGCGCCUGGCGGUCACCUCCCCGCCAGGUGGCGAUGAACACACCCCCGCCUGGCACAAAGCACCUCCAGCGGCUGCCCCAGUGCGGGUGGUGUUCUCCAUACCCCAGAAGGCCGGCAGUCUAGCCAGGGCGAAGACAGGAACACAGGACCCCACCCCUCAUUGUUCUCACCCCAGGCAGGAAAGGGCGGCUUCCUACAUGCUGGGCGAAAAGCGGGAGAAUCCCCGUCUUUCCCUAUAGGUUUCCCGGUGGCACUUUGGGUCUUGAUGAAACUACAGCGCAGGCACACGAGGGCCUCAGAGCCUCCAGGGUGAGCAGCAGUACAGGUACCUAAGGUCGCCCUGUACUGUUGGGCAGGUUGGGGCCUGAACAACCUGCUUGCCCUAGAGGGAAAACCAGGAAAAGGAGCCAGUGACUCUCACUAGUCCUGUUGGGGCACUUGGUUCCCCUCAGAGAAUCUGGGGAGUCGCGUUUCCAGAGAGGCUCCUCUGGCUCCGCCUGGGCUCCAUGGGGAACAGAGGCUCCAGCGGAACCGUCCUCGUGAGCAGGAAGAUCCAGAAGUCUCACAGUGUCAGAGCGGGUGACAAGGAGGAUGCGGACGUAGUCUCGUGUUUUUACAAGCCGCCUCUCCGCUGGAUGGCGCUCAGUGGCAGCAGUUACGUUUUUUAAUCACAUCUCAUAAAGACUCACGAAAGAAGACUGCAGAGACACUGCAGAAAAUUGCUGGAACACACGAGCGAUGCUGGUGGAGUAUUUAUGGAGUGGAUCCAUGGACAAAGGCCUGGCCGGCAGCGCGGUGGUAACAUGAGACAAGUGCUGGACAACAGAGGUGCCCGACCCGGCCAAGCAAGGGAAGGGCCGGGCUGGAGACAGGAUGCGAGCGUGGGGAGAACACUGGGGACUGUCAGCUCACAAUUGGGCCAAGACUGUUUUUUGUGGGGGUGGUUGGUAACGGGGAUCGCACUGGGGUCCUUCCGCUUGGGAGGCAGGCUGUGGAACCACUGAGCUAAAUCCCUGGCCCCACCAAUGUUUUUUGUUGAGACAGGAUCUGGCUUUCGUGGCCCAGACUGGCCCUGAGCCCUUCAUCCUACGGCCUCAGCCUCCAGAGAGCUGGGACUGCAGGUGUGUCAAGAUUACCCUGGGGUGGGAGUGUCAGCACGGGACCCCGCUUUAAGAGAGCCCCUGUAGCCUCCCGAGAGCUGGGGGAGCGUUGGGAGGCGUCGCCCGGUGCCUGAGCAGGACUGCGGUGAUUGCAGCCUUCGGUGACAGCAGCCGGGGACAGCGAUCUGGAGG